AUUGAACGCUGGCGGCAUGCCUUACACAUGCAAGUCGAACGGUAACAGGUUAAGCUGACGAGUGGCGAACGGGUGAGUAAUGUAUCGGAACGUGUCCAGUCGUGGGGGAUAACUGCUCGAAAGAGCAGCUAAUACCGCAUACGACCUGAGGGUGAAAGCGGGGGAUCGCAAGACCUCGCGCGAUUGGAGCGGCCGAUAUCAGAUUAGGUAGUUGGUGAGGUAAGGGCUCACCAAGCCGACGAUCUGUAGCUGGUCUGAGAGGACGACCAGCCACACUGGGACUGAGACACGGCCCAGACUCCUACGGGAGGCAGCAGUGGGGAAUUUUGGACAAUGGGCGCAAGCCUGAUCCAGCCAUGCCGCGUGCGGGAAGAAGGCCUUCGGGUUGUAAACCGCUUUUGUCAGGGAAGAAAAGGUUCUGGCUAAUACCUGGGACUCAUGACGGUACCUGAAGAAUAAGCACCGGCUAACUACGUG
rnacentral:rRNA from 1 species